ACGGGGUGCAGCAGGCGCGAAACAUCCGCAAUACACGAAAGUGUGACGGUGUUACCCAAAGUGUUCAAUUUUGGACUGUGGUAGGUGAGUAAUGUUCCCUACUAGAAAGGAGAGGGCAAGGCUGGUGCCAGCCGCCGCGGUAAAACCAGCUCUUCAAGUGGUCGGGAUAAUUAUUGGGCUUAAAGUGUCCGUAGCCGGUUUAGUAAGUUCCUGGUAAAAUCGGGUAGCCUAACUAUCUGUAUGCUAGGAAUACUGCUAUACUAGAGGGCGGGAGAGGUCUGAGGUACUACAGGGGUAGGGGUGAAAUCUUAUAAUCCUUGUAGGACCACCAGUGGCGAAGGCGUCAGACUGGAACGCGCCUGACGGUGAGGGACGAAAGCCAGGGGAGCGAACCGGAUUAGAUACCCGGGUAGUCCUGGCCGUAAACGAUGCGAGCUAGGUGUUGGGAUGGCUACGUGCCAUUUCAGUGCCGCAGGGAAGCCAUUGAGCUCGCCGCCUGGGGAGUACGGCCGCAAGGCUGAAACUUAAAGGAAUUGGCGGGGGAGCAC
rnacentral:rRNA from 1 species